CCUACAUGAAGUCGGAAUCGCUAGUAAUCGCGGAUCAGCAUGCCGCGGUGAAUACGUUCCCGGGCCUUGUACACACCGCCCGUCACACCACGGGAGUUUGCAACACCCGAAGUCGGUGAGGUAACCGCAAGGAGCCAGCCGCCGAAGGUGGGGUAGAUAACUGGGGUGAAGUCGUAACAAGGUAUCCGUACCGGAAGGUGCGGAUGGAUCACCUCCUUU
rnacentral:rRNA from 1 species